AGAAUCAACGCUGGCGGCGUGCCUCAGACAUGCAAGUCGAACGCGAAAGUCCCCUUCGGGGGGCGAGUAGAGUGGCGCACGGGUGAGUAACACGUAGGUAAUCUACCUUUGGAUGGGGAAUAACAACCGGAAACGGUUGCUAAUACCGCAUAAUGCAGCGGCACCUAAUGGUGACAGUUGUUAAAGCGGGGGAUCGAAAGACCUCGCGUCUGAAGAGGAGCCUGCGGCGGAUUAGCUAGUUGGUAAGGUAACGGCUUACCAAGGCAACGAUCCGUA
rnacentral:rRNA from 1 species